AACAAAGGCGGCGGGAGCGGCUGGGGCAGUGCCGGGUCCCCGCGGGCGGGGGAAGCCCCAUGGGUUCCGCGUCCCCGCUUGGGCAGGACAGAGGCUGAGCUGCGGCCGACGUUCUCAGGGCCAAAUACGGAGCUUCGUCUCGUCUUGGCUGGGUGGCCGAGCGGUCCGUAGCGUUCCCGGCUGUCUCUCGGGGCAGCACCGGGAACACCUGCGGAGGGGAGCGCGGAGGGGCUUCUGGAUACGGUCACUGCUGCUGCUGCCUUGUUCUAAGUUCUGUGUGCCAGUAACUCCGGUGUUACCCACCGUGCCGCGCCAGUCGCCGCACGUCGCUCUGUGACAGAUGUGCUCACACAGUCGUUCUCAGCACCACCAGGCUGAGGGAUACGAUGGUUAGAAAUUGGGCAUCUUGCAAUUCCUCAGUAGGAGCUGCUGGCUGCGUGGAUGAUCAUAUCUUUGUUUCCUGAUUUUUUUUUUUCUUAAUGGAAUACAUAUUAAAAAUAAAAUGACUUAAUAAAGAAAGAGGAACUGGGGAUGGAAAGGGCUUCUUUGUUCUGUCUUCUCCAGAACGUUACAAGUCUAAGAGCUCAGGACAAGAGCAGCAGAAAUACAUGCAACAUGGUGACUGGAACCCUGAGGACCUUGCAAUAUGAAUAAUUCUCUGGAGAACACCAUUUCCUUUGAAGAAUACAUCCGUGUGAAGGCACGAACGAUCCCCCAGCACAGGAUGAAGGAGUUUCUAGACUCCCUUGCUUCCAAGGGGCCAGAAGCCCUCCAGGAGUUUCAGCAGACAGCCACUACCACAAUGGUGUAUCAGCAGGGUGGCAACUGCAUUUACACGGACAGCACAGAGGUGGCUGGGUCUUUGCUUGAACUUGCUUGUCCUGUGACAACCAGUAUCCAGCAACAAACUCAGCCAGAGCAGCAGAUACAGGUUCAGCAACCCCAGCAAGUCCAGGUUCAGGUUCAGGUCCAGCAGUCACCGCAGCAGGUCUCUGCCCAGCAGCUCUCUCCACAGCUCUCUGUCCAUCAGGCUUCGGAGCAGCCAAUACAGGUCCAAGUGCAGAUCCAAGGCCAGGCGCAGCAGCAGGCAUCCCAGACAAUACAGAGUCAGUCUCUUCAGAGCCCCAGCCCAUCGCAGCUGCAGGCAGCUCAGAUCCAAGUGCAGCACGUGCAGACUGCCCAACAGAUCCAGGCUGCAGAGCUACAAGAGGAACACAUACAACACCAGCAGAUCCAGGCCCAGCUUGUGGCAGGACAGGCCAUUACUGGUGGCCAGCAGAUCCAGAUCCAGACAGUUGGUGCACUGUCACCCCCACCUUCUCAACAAGGCUCCCCACGAGAGGGAGAGAGGCGGAUCAGCUCUGCGAGUGUCCUUCAGCCAGUGAAGAAACGUAAAGUGGAUAUGCCUAUUACUGUAUCGUAUGCUAUUUCAGGGCAGCCAGUUGCCACAGUGCUGGCCAUCCCUCAGGGCCAGCAGCAAAGUUAUGUCUCUUUAAGGCCAGACUUGUUAACAGUGGACAGUGCCCACCUGUACAGUGCCACUGGGACCAUUACUAGCCCCACUGGAGAGACGUGGACCAUCCCUGUUUACUCUGCUCAACCACGUGGUGACCUUCAGCAGCAAAACAUAACCCACAUUGCCAUCCCUCAGGAGGCCUAUAAUGCCGUCCACGUCAGUGGCUCACCCACAACACUGGCUACAGUGAAGCUGGAAGAUGACAAGGAUAAGAUGGUGGGAAGUACUUCAGUAGUGAAGAACUCUCAUGAGGAAGUGGUGCAGACUCUUGCUAAUUCGAUCUUUCCAGCACAGUUUAUGAAUGGCAACAUCCACAUUCCAGUGGCAGUGCAGGCUGUGGCAGGGACAUACCAGAAUACAGCACAGACAGUGCACAUAUGGGACCCACAGCAGCAACAGCCACAGCCCACACCCCAAGAGCAGGGGCAGCAGCAGCAGCUACAAGUCACUUGCUCUGCUCAAACUGUUCAGGUUGCUGAAGUUGAACCACAGCCACAGCCGCAGACUUCACCUGAACUUCUACUUCCAAACUCUCUGAAGCCAGAAGAAGGUCUUGAAGUGUGGAAAAGCUGGGCACAGACCAAGAAUGCAGAGCUGGAAAAAGAAGCUCAAAAUAGACUAGCACCCAUUGGAAGACGUCAGCUGCUGAGGUUCCAGGAAGAUCUCAUCUCUUCUGCUGUGGCUGAGCUGAAUUAUGGUCUGUGCUUAAUGACACGAGAAGCUCGGAAUGGUGAUGGUGAACCCUAUGAUCCAGAUGUGCUCUACUAUAUCUUCCUAUGUAUUCAGAAGUAUCUCUUUGAAAAUGGCCGAGUUGAUGACAUCUUCUCGGAUCUCUACUAUAUUCGGUUCACUGAAUGGCUGCAUGAAGUUCUUAAGGACAUACAGCCCCGUGUUUCACCUCUUGGUUAUAUCCUCUCCAGUCAUGUAACAGAAGAGAUGCUGUGGGAGUGUAAGCAACUUGGAGCUCACUCCCCUUCCACCUUGCUCACUACACUGAUGUUUUUUAACACAAAAUACUUCCUGUUGAAAACAGUAGACCAGCACAUGAAGCUGGCCUUCUCCAAGGUGCUGAGGCAGACCAAGAAGAACCCUUCUAAUCCUAAGGAUAAAAGCACGAGUAUCCGCUAUAUGAAGGCUCCAGGCAUGCACCAGACAGGACAGAAAGAGGCUGUUGGGUGUAAGUGCUUAUGAAGAGAUGGAGAAAAUUCUUUGGGAGGGCUUCUCUUACCUUGAUUCAUGUGAACUCAUACAUAAUUCCUAUGUAAGUACAAUCUACCCUCUUAAAAGCACAGGAUGCAGCUGAGGCUUUGCAGUCUCAGUAGUGAGAUUUCCCUCAUUUUGUACCCUGGUAGAGGAAAAUUGGAAAGAAGGAUAUGGAUGAGUUAUGAUCUUCAAUAGUUUUAGCAUAAAGCAAGCUCUGUGUAAUGCGUAAAGCAUUUAUAGCCAGGUACCUCUGCCCUGGAACACCCAUAUGUCUCUGGCCAGUUCUUGUAUGAUGACAAGGUGCUGUAGUGUUGAGGCUCUAUGGUACUGCUCAGUGUGCUGUGCUUACACAGUGUCUGACAGAUUUCUGGGGGGCUGGUUUGUAGUUACAGAUGACAUGUAUGCAGAGCAGACCGAGAAUCCAGAGAACCCCCUGAGGUGUCCGAUAAAGCUGUAUGACUUCUACCUCUUCAAAUGCCCCCAGAGUGUGAAAGGCCGGAAUGACACAUUUUACUUGACACCGGAGCCAGUGGUGGCCCCCAACAGCCCUAUCUGGUAUUCCAUCCAGCCGAUCAGCAGAGAGCAGAUGGAGCAGAUGCUCACCCGGAUCCUGGUGAUACGAGAGAUUCAGGAAGCUCUUGCCGUGGCUAAUGCCAGCACCAUGCACUAAGGCAUCCUUCGUGGCUCAGAUGGGGUGGGGCAGGGUGAUGGGGGAGGGACAAGCAAAGAGAAAUUGUACAGACUUUUACACUAAAGGAGAUGCCUAAGUUUUUGGUUUUUUAUUGGUGUAGUUAUGAAGCCCUUUUAGGCUUCCUCUCUUUAAAAGAAUCUAAAGGAAAACCUACCCAUUGUGUAUCCUACCCAACACACCAAACUGUUGGAACCAUUGGAGGCUGCAUAUCCCCUGCGAGCUGGGAGCUAUGGAAAGCUGCUGGUUGACUCUGGGUUUUUUUAUGAUGUAGAAAACAUGAACUACAGGAUGGGCCUGGUUGGCUGGGGCCUCUGUCUCCUUGGAGCACGUGCAGCCUAGAGGGCACAGAAUGAUGGAUGGACCUGCUCAGCCAGUGGAGGAGAGGCAGGCAUCUUUUCUUGUGCUUGGACGUUAAUUUGCUGUUAUCUUGGAAGAAAGAGGAGAGAGUGAACUGCAAUUAUGAUUUAUACAAAAAAAAAAAACAAACCAACAAUUUCUAUUCAGACCUUUAAGUGACAUUUUUAGAUGUUAAAAGUACAAACUUUACCACACUCUUCUUUUAUGGCCUAACAUUGAGGCCUUAAACCUUGAGGCUUCUGUGCCUGAUGGAAUUCUUGUAACAUACACUUGUGUAUCAUAUAAAGAUACCACCCUGUUUCUCUUAUGUAUUCUUACUCUAGUUGUUUAUUAAGAAUGACGAGCACGUCUUUUCAACAUGCCAUUGAACAAUGUGUCUUUAUUUGGGGAAGAGUGAGCUGUGAGGGUGGGGGGGUCAUUAUACAAAGAUCAGUAUGCAAACUGGUUGUUUUCAUGCUUUCCAGCUCAACUCUGCUGGAUUUCUUUCACCCCUACAACUUAUGAAGGUAGAAGGGCAUACACUUCUGUUGAAGGACCUGAAUGUCUGCUUGCUGAUGGAAGCUCAGUGCCAGGCUAGGAACAUGGGAUUUGUGAGACCAGAUCAGACUGUCCUAAUGUUCUGUGGCUUUACUCCAUGGCAAAUCCCGUUCUCUCCACCUUUUCAAAUGCAUCACAAUAGCGGCAUGAUGGAGGGGUAGUGGAGGGAAAAGGCCUUCCAGGAGCAGCAUAUGGCUUACUCCUGCCAUUUAACAGCCUUUUCACAGUUUUUAACACAGCUGUGUAGCUUUUGGCAUUGUUCAUGAUCAUAAUCCCCAGCUCUGUAGCCUUGCCUUGCUGCAUCUUAAAUGGUUGCUGUAUUUUAUAUCAUUAACAAAUAGUCUACUCUUUUGAAGCCAGCAGGUAGCCAGCUGUGCUUGAAAUGGGAGAUCACUUGCCAGGUUUGUUACUUGUGCCAUCAGCUUCUUGUAUGCAGAGAAAUUACUCUGCUUCUUGAACUUGUCUUCCCUGCUUCUCCACCUCAUGUCCCUUCCCUGUUCCAAAAUACACAGAUAAAUAUUUAAAUAUAUAUUACAGUAAAAGAACUUAAACUUGUGUACAGGCAAGCAACUUUCCUGAAGCCUCUGUUGUCCAGCACCUAUCUGUAUAAGAGAGAAGGAAGGUGUGCCCUCUCUGUUGGUUGUGCAGAAUGUAAAUUGAUAAAGAGUAGCCAGUGUUCCCUGUCUUUGUGCUCGUGAGCAGUGUUGAGGUGUGCAGCUUAGAGAUACUUCCCAAGCCCCUGAUGCUUCAUAUUGACAUUGGUGUUCCUGAGGAAGCAGGUGUGCUUGAGCUAGCUGUCAGUAUGAGCAGUUUGUUCCCUCUACAGGACUCUGUGCUCAAGUGUAUUGCAGAGAGCUGAAGUAGCAAUGCACUGUUGCUUUGUUUUAGACUCUUAGCUCAGUGUCUGCCCUCAGACCUAGGCGAGAGGAAAACAGCCCCAGAUCAGUGCCCUGAUCCUAGUGGGUGAGUGGGAAGAUGGUGGGUGUAGUGCUGGUAGCAGGUACUGUGACCUUAGCUUGUGUGCUGGGAGCCAGCAGUUUCCCCCUUCUAGGAUGGCUCUUGGGAUCACUAGUACUGCUUCAGCUGUCAGAAACCUGUACUCCUUUAACCAUAUCGUAGUGACUGGCAUGUCCAUCUUUGGCCCUAUUUAAGUCUUUGAGGACAUGGUUGGGGCAGGCUCCCACUAUUCCAAGCAGUUGCAUGUGCCUGCUGCACAGGGUGUGCCCCACAAGCAUGCAGAGUGGUUUUCCCUUCCUUUUGGGCAGUUUGUCCCAUCAUCAGAGCAGAGCUGGAAACCCUGCUGCCUUGGCUAUCUCUAUCAGAAAUACAGUGGAUAUUAAAAAAUCUGCCAGAUACACACUGUACCAGUUGCUUUACUGGGCAGCCUUGAGAGCCACCUUUAAACACUAAAAAUUAACAGAAACUGCAAUACUUGACAGAACUUGAGGGCAGUUGCAGUUUGGGGACAAACUGGAACUUCAGCUGAGCUUUCUGGGGAAACAAAAUUCCAUGUUACCUUAAAAUUCUGGAUUGCGCACUUUCCAUACUACUCUUAACUGCAAGAUGAUCUCAAGUCUUUGUAGGGGGAAGAGUUCUCCUUGGAGGAUACUGGUUAACAGCAGGGAAACUAGGCACAUGGUGAGCUGUGGAGAUCUCCUGAUGAUUGAUUUUGUCCUGAUGGACUGGAGUGUUUCCAUUCCUUUCUCAUUGUCUGCAUGUACAUAGGAGAGGAUCUGCUGAUGCAGAAGUGGACUGCUGCACUGUUCUGUACUGUCUCAUCAGAAUGUCCACUGUGUUAACUUCAUUCCCCAUUUUUAGAGACAAUCGAUAUACUGUGACUUAAGGAUUCUUUUCCUGGAUCUGGCUUCUAGUCUGUCUCUCUGGAGCUAGUUUAAAAGGUACAGUAUUUCUAUAAUAUAAAUACUAUGUUCUUUGAUAGUGAAGAACAUGAUCUGCUCCCUUGUAGGGGCUUGUAGGAAGAUGUGCACAGAGUAGCACAGAAGAGUGCUGUGGCUUAGGGUUGCUGUCCACAUUCUGGGAAAUGUUCCCAGUCAAACAUGUAAAAUAGCUUUUUAACACUUUCCUAUAACCAGCUUGACUGCUGCUUAAAGGGCAUUCCCCCUUGGCUCUGAGAGUGCCAAACUGCUUGUACUGCUCUUAUAUGCGUGUAUAUAUUGACAGGAACUCUCCGUGCCCUAUGCCUUGUAUGAGACAGGCUGAAAAUGCAUCGAUCUCUAAAUAAAUAGAGCUGAGAAGUCAAGCUAGAGACCGUGUGUUGUUGAUUUUGAACUGUGCCCAUCUUGUCACUGGGGUAUGAAAGGAACCAUAGAAAGCAGAGACUGACUGUUGUAAAGCACCUCACAUUCUGACGUGAGACUCCUGUAUUGUCCAAGCUCUUGACAUUUAACAGUGUUGCUUUCUUUAAGAAACUUGUAGCCUCUUACACGUGUCCACAGCACCAUUAGAUUUGCAUUUGCUUUCAAGAGGUCAAGUAUUUCCUCUUAAGUGGUAAUGGCUGAAGCAGCAGACAGCAGACUAGAGAGUGGCUCUUCACUCCUGUCUAGAGCAGUGUAUAAAGGGUAUGGUCUGAGAACUUAAUAGGGCUCUCAUCUGUUGGCUGCCUCACCCCUACAGCUCUGGACUUCAGAGGGGUCACAAGGUCUGAAGUAGUUCCAGAACUGUUCUGCCUUGGACAAUACAAAAAUACUUAAUCUGAUCUCUGACUAAGAAUCCUCUUCUGCACUGUUGCUGCUAGGGCAGAAAUUAAGACAGUCUUGUUCUCAGCUGCAUCAGGGCUACUGUCUGCCUUGGCAUACAUAGAAGGGAUGAGGCCUAGAAUACUCCUAUGCUGUGAUAAGAGCAGAUCCAGAAAUGAUAGAAAAGAUCCCCCUGAGUGUACAAGGGGUGGAGGACUGCUGGUACUGUAGUUGCUCAUCCUCUUGCUGGACUGAGUGCUGCUGGACACUGAAUGGCUGUGCAGCUGUCCAGCCAAACCAUAUUCUUACAUGAAUUAAAUACUGACUUGGAGUUAGUGUUUGGACUCCUAAAUCACUGUUAAAGUGGGAUAUCAACUGUCUUCCACCCUAUAUGGGGCUUUUCUCCCCAUCUUAUUGCUGGAGCUGCUCCUCUCAAACAUUACAGGGAAUGCACCUUAUCCUGAUGAUUCAGCCUCUCCUGUUUCAUUGGUGCCAAUGUUUCAGAAAGAGCCCUUCUCCACUUAUACCUCUUCCUACCUUAAGGAACAUCUCAAUUCUUCCAGAAGUCUUGCUGACAUGCUGCCCCCAAAUCUCUGAAGCAAUUGCCGUGUCCCUGCUUGUCGCUUUCCUUUGCUGCGUGGCUGAUGCUCUGUUCUUAGCACUGCAGUCACGUUCCCUGUAACCUUGUGCAUGGCAGCUGUGUUUGCCUGCUUCUCCUUUCUCGUUGGAGCUCAUCAGAACGGGAAGGCAGAUCAAACCCACUUACAGCAGCAAUAAACCAUGUCUAGAACUCGAGGGAACUGCAGGAGAGAGUGAGGCAGAGGGGAUGUCUCAAAAAGGCAGGGUCCAGUUGCAGCCCAAAACCUCGCUUGAUAAUGAGUGUGCAGCCUAUAUGCAAAAUACAUCUUGUCUGUCCCUCCUGUGUUGACCCAGGUCUAAACAGCACAUGUGAUUGGCAUCCUGCAAAGUGACCUUCAGAACUCUCCAGUAGCUUUGCCCCGUGAGUAACUCACACUACAAAUCAUUUUAAAGAGAUGCACUCAACUAUUUUUUUAAUUUAAUUUUACUCUUAUAUUCUCUGCUCUUUGUAAUCUGCUUGGAAAUAAAAUGUUUUUCCCUGCA